rnacentral:rRNA from 1 species
UACGGAGGGGGCUAGCGUUAUUCGGAAUUACUGGGCGUAAAGCGCACGUAGGCGGCUUUGUAAGUCAGAGGUGAAAGCCUGGAGCUCAACUCCAGAACUGCCUUUGAGACUGCAUCGCUUGAAUCCAGGAGAGGUGAGUGGAAUUCCGAGUGUAGAGGUGAAAUUCGUAGAUAUUCGGAAGAACACCAGUGGCGAAGGCGGCUCACUGGACUGGUAUUGACGCUAAGGCGCGAAAGCGUGGGGAGCGAACAGG